UGGAGAGGUGGCAGAGUGGUCGAUUGCGUCUGACUUGAAAUCAGAUGAGGUGAAAGCUUCCGGGAGUUCGAAUCUCCCCCUCUCCGU
rnacentral:tRNA from 1 species